rnacentral:rRNA from 1 species
CCUACGGGAGGCAGCAGUGAGGAAUAUUGGUCAAUGGGCUUACGCCUGAACCAGCCAAGUCGCGUGAGGGAAGACUGCCCUAUGGGUUGUAAACCUCUUUUGUCAGGGAGCAACGCGGGCUACGUGUGGCCGGACUGAGAGUACCUGAAGAAAAAGCAUCGGAUAACUCGGUGCCAGCAGCCGCGGAAAUACGGAGGAUGCGAGCGUUAUCCGGAUUUAUUGGGUUUAAAGGGUGCGUAGGCGGGAUGACAAGUCAGCGGUAAAAUCGCGGGGCUAACCCUCGCUCCGCCGUUGAAACUGGCGGUCGUGAGUGGGCGAGAGGUAGGCGGAAGGCGUGGUGUAGCGGUGAAAUGCAUAGAUAUCACGCAGAACCCCGAUUGCGAAGGCAGCAUACCGGCGCCCAACUGACGCUGAUGCACGAAAGCGUGGGUAUCGAACAGGAUUAGAUACCCCAGUAGUC